GUGGAAUUAUAAGUGCGAGACUAAUUUUGACAAGCUGUCCCGAUAACCGGCGUUUUCGUUGAAAUUUUCUGAUUUUCAUUUCUCCUCCACUUAGCAUCAUGAUUUGAGGGAGAUUAUUUUGUGCAAAAUCACGUUGACGAUCUCUCACUUGGAUAUUUCUUCUAAUGUCUUUCAAGCUAGUACGAUUUUUAGCUUUAAUUUAUCACGGAGAAUUUUUAUAAUAACUCCAUGUAUAGUGCUCGGACACGAGUUACAGAAGUUGCGUCUGAACUCCUGAAAGUUCAAUGAGAAAUUUUUAUCGUUCCGUGAAAUUAUGAAUAAAAAUUGUUUUGUUCAUAUUGAUUUGUAAUUGUUCUCUUCAUAUUAAUCUAUCAUGGGAUCUGUCCUUUUAGCUAUAUUAACAUUAAGUUACUACGCUGAAUCUUUAUCGUUUGCAAAUUAAAAUGUCGAA